rnacentral:lncRNA from 1 species
GCAGGUUCACUAAUUUGAUAUUUGUUAUAGACAGGCAGUUGAAGUUUUAUUAAUCAGUGCUGCUUUCCUCUUUUAUUUUUUUCCUUUUAGCUGACAUGUGCUUAUUACAUUUUAUAAAUAACCAGUGCUCCACAUUGUGCUCUUGAUAAGCAGUGUUUAGUAGAUAGAAGGUAGUAAAUGUAUUUGUGACUUAAAAGUAUUUUCAGCUCUGUGGUUCACAGAGUUUAAUUCUUUUUAAGGAGCACUUGUAUUAGUCUUUUGAGAUAGAGCUAGGUUUUGAAGGGCUCUCUGUAGAAGAUUAGAUGCCCUACCCCACUGUUAAGUGAGUCUUUACAUUUUUGUCAACACUCAUUGUUGAUUUAUUGACUACUGAAGUAUAGUACUCAUCCUUAAAAAAUUUGCAAAGUAAUACACUGUAUGCUAUUUCAUAUUUAGGCGUGAAUUACCCUUUACUAAGUCAGCUCAUCUCACCAAUCCCUGGAAUGAACAUAAGCCAGUAAAGAUUGGACGUGAUGGACAGGAAAUUGAACUUGAAUGUGGAACCCAGCUUUGUCUUCUGUUUCCCCCUGAUGAAAGUAUUGACUUGUAUCAGCUCAUUCAUAAAAUGCGUCACAAGAGAAGAAUGCAUUCUCAGCCUCGAUCAAGAGGACGUCCAUCCCGUCGAGAACCAGUCCGGGAUGUGGGAAGGCGUCGACCAGAAGAUUAUGAUAUUCAUAACAGCAGAAAGAAACCAAGGAUUGACUAUCCCCCUGAGUUUCAC